rnacentral:rRNA from 1 species
CCAGACUCCUACGGGAGGCAGCAGUGGGGAAUAUUGCACAAUGGGGGGAACCUUGAUGCAGCAACGCCGCGUGGGUGAAGAAGUACUCCGGUAUGUAAAGCCCUGUCAGCAGGGAAGAAAAUGACGGUACCUGACCAAGAAGCCCCGGCUAACUACGUGCCAGCAGCCGCGGUAAUACGUAGGGGGCAAGCGUUAUCCGGAUUUACUGGGUGUAAAGGGGGCGCAGACGGCGAUGCAAGCCAGGAGUGAAAGCCCGGGGCCCAACCCCGGGACUGCUCUUGGAACUGCGUGGCUGGAGUGCAGGAGGGGCAGGCGGAAUUCCUGGUGUAGCGGUGAAAUGCGUAGAUAUUAGGAGGAACACCAGUGGCGAAGGCGGUUUACUGGACUGUAACUGACGUUGAGGCUCGAAAGCGUGGGGAGCAAACAGGAUUAGAUACCCUGGUA